GCCAUUAUAGCUCAGUUGGUAGAGCGCACCCAUGGUAAGGGUGAGGUCACCGGUUCAAUCCCGGUUAAUGGCUCCA
rnacentral:tRNA from 1 species